GAUGAACGCUGGCGGCGUGCCUAAUACAUGCAAGUCGAGCGAACGGAUAAGGAGCUUGCUCCUUUGAAGUUAGCGGCGGACGGGUGAGUAACACGUGGGUAACCUACCUAUAAGACUGGAAUAACUUCGGGAAACCGGAGCUAAUGCCGGAUAACAUUUGGAACUGCAUGGUUCUAAAGUAAAAGAUGGUUUUGCUAUCACUUAUAGAUGGACCCGCGCCGUAUUAGCUAGUUGGUAAGGUAACGGCUUACCAAGGAAACGAUACGUAGCCGACCUGAGAGGGUGAUCGGCCACACGGGAACUGAGACACGAUCCAACAUCCUACGGGAGGCAGCAGUAGGGAAUCUUCCGAAAUGGACGAAAGUCUGACGGAGCAACGCCGCGUGAGUGAUGAAGGUUUUCGGAUCGUAAAACUCUGUUAUUAGGGAAGAACAAAUGUGUAAGUACCUGUGCACAUCUUGACGGUACCUAAUCAGAAAGCCACGGCUAACUACGUGCCAGCCGCCGCAGUAA
rnacentral:rRNA from 1 species